ACCAGACUCCUACGGGAGGCAGCAGUGGGGGAUAUUGCACAAUGGGGGGAACCCUGAUGCAGCGACGCCGCGUGGGUGAAGAAGCGCCUCGGCGCGUAAAGCCCUGUCAGCAGGGAAGAAAAUGACGGUACCUGAAGAAGAAGCCCCGGCUAACUACGUGCCAGCAGCCGCGGUAAUACGUAGGGGGCAAGCGUUAUCCGGAUUUACUGGGUGUAAAGGGGGCGCAGACGGCGAUGCAAGCCAGGAGUGAAAGCCCGGGGCCCAACCCCGGGACUGCUCUUGGAACUGCGUGGCUGGAGUGCAGGAGGGGCAGGCGGAAUUCCUGGUGUAGCGGUGAAAUGCGUAGAUAUCAGGAGGAACACCGGUGGCGAAGGCGGCCUGCUGGACUGCAACUGACGUUGAGGCCCGAAAGCGUGGGGAGCAAAUAGGAUUAGAUACCCUCGUA
rnacentral:rRNA from 1 species